rnacentral:rRNA from 1 species
AGAGUUUGAUCAUGGCUCAGAAUGAACGCUGGCGGCACGCUUAACACAUGCAAGUCGAACGAGAUCUUCGGAUCUAGUGGCAGACGGGUGAGUAACGCGUGGGAACCUGCCCAGUAGUAGAGAAUAACUUGGGGAAACUUAAGCUAAUACUUUAUACGUCCUUCGGGAGAAAGCUUUAUGCGCUAUUGGAUGGGCCCGCGUUAGAUUAGUUUGUUGGUGAGGUAACGGCUCACCAAGGCGACGAUCUAUAGCUGGUCUGAGAGGAUGAUCAGCCACACUGGGACUGAGACACGGCCCAGACUCCUACGGGAGGCAGCAGUGGGGAAUAUUGGACAAUGGGGGCAACCCUGAUCCAGCGAUGCCGCGUGAGUGAUGAAGGCCCUAGGGUUGUAAAACUCUUUCGUCAGGGAAGAUAAUGACGGUACCUGAAGAAGAAGAUCCGGCUAACUCCGUGCCAGCAGCCGCGGUAAUACGGAGGGGUCUAGCGUUAUUCGGAAUUACUGGGCGUAAAGCGAGCGUAGGCGGAUUUGUAAGUUGGAGGUGAAAUCCCAGAGCUUAACUCUGGAACUGCCUUCAAAACUACAUUUCUUGAGUUUGGUAGAGGAGAGUGGAAUUCCUAGUGUAGAGGUGAAAUUCGUAGAUAUUAGGAGGAACACCAGUGGCGAAGGCGACUCUCUGGGCCAAUACUGACGCUGAGGUUCGAAAGCAUGGGUAGCGAACAGGAUUAGAUACCCUGGUAGUCCAUGCAGUAAACGAUGAGUGCUAGAUGUUGGGAAUUUAAAUUUCCAGUAUCGCAGUUAACGCGUUAAGCACUCCGCCUGGGAAGUACGGCCGCAAGGCUAAAACUCAAAUGAAUUGACGGGGACCCGCACAAGCGGUGGAGCAUGUGGUUUAAUUCGAAGAUACGCGAAGAACCUUACCGGCCCUUGACAUACCAAUCGCGGACUUAAGAGAUUAAGUCUUUCACUUCGGGUGGAUUGGAUACAGGUGCUGCAUGGCUGUCGUCAGCUCGUGUCGUGA